GCGUUUAGCUCAGCUGGUAGAGCGUCUCCCUUACAAGGAGAGGGUCGUAGGUUCGAGUCCUACAACGCC
rnacentral:tRNA from 1 species